UGCAGCCAUGCCGCGUGUAUGAAGAAGGCCUUCGGGUUGUAAAGUACGUUUCAGCAGUGAGGAAGGUGGGUAUGGUUAAUAGCAUACUCAUUUGACGUUAGCUGCAGAAGAAGCACCGGCUAACUCCGUGCCAGCAGCCGCGGUAAUACGGAGGGUGCGAGCGUUAAUCGGAAUUACUGGGCGUAAAGCGCAUGCAGGUGGUUUGUUAAGUCAGAUGUGAAAGCCCGGGGCUCAACCUCGGAAUUGCAUUUGAAACUGGCAAACUAGAGUACUGUAGAGGGGGUAGAAUUUCAGGUGUAGCGGUGAAAUGCGUAGAGAUCUGAAGGAAUACCGGUGGCGAAGGCGGCCCCCUGGACAGAUACUGACACUCAGAUGCGAAAGCGUGGGGAGCAAACAGGAUUAGAUACCCUGGUAG
rnacentral:rRNA from 1 species